AGUUGCUGGCAUUACAGAGACACAGGAGUCAGAAGAUGCGGACAGUGUGACGCCACUGCCAGACAGCACAUCUGCAGCAUCUGCCCAAAACCAGAGAAGCUCUGCAAAAACUAGAGAUGGCAGUAUACCAGAAGCUCAGGAAUCAGAAGAUGAGGCCAGCACCGCAUCACUACAAGAGAGGACCUCUACAGCGUCUGCCCAAAACCAGACAAGGUUUUCAAAAAAGAGAGUUAUCACCAGAGAAAUGAGCAUCACACUCCAGAAUUGACUGUUAGAUGUUGAUAGUCCCAUUUUUACACACCUUUAAUGGUUGGUAAAACUAUGUAUUUUUCCUGACUGUGGGACAGUCCUGUAUGGUCUCAACCAAGUCAGUACUUCAUUGGAUGACCAAUGGAAUCAAUCUGAUAGUGUUUCAGUUCUAGUUAGAAGUUAAA